rnacentral:rRNA from 1 species
UACGUAGGGUGCGAGCGUUGUCCGGAAUUAUUGGGCGUAAAGGGUAGGUAGGUGGUCUCAUUUGUCUGGGGUGAAAGCCUUGGGCUUAACUCAAGAAGUGCCCCAGAAACGGUGAGACUAGAGUCUUGGAGAGGGUCGUGGAAUUCCCGGUGUAGCGGUGAAAUGCGUAGAGAUCGGGAGGAACACCAGAGGCGAAGGCGGCGACCUGGACAAGUACUGACACUCAACUACGAAAGCGUGGGGAGCAAACAGG